rnacentral:lncRNA from 1 species
CUUUUCAAUAUUUUCCAUCAAAUACCAGUAGCUACUAGUAAUUUACCCGUGCUAACGCUACCGCGGUAAUACAUGUAGAAACACAAUGCAUGUCAUGGAAACAUUUCUACUACUCCACUAUUCAUUUAACUGAACUGGUGAGUUGGGUCAGGUAGACUACUUGAGUAUGCAUAAUGUGGUUUCUGAACAUUUGUAGGAAAAAAAGAAGAAGCUUGGAGUACAACUGGGGCCACCGCUUCCUCAAAAGGACUUCUGAACAAUUUUGAAAAUGUGCACUUCAAGUCUUGAAAAUACAUACUAUUAUACAAACCAAUAGCCAUAUAAUGACAAGGAAGAACUUGUCGGUGAAUCCGCUCAAUACGACCACCUUCUAACUUCCCAAUGUUUACUGGACUAAGCACAAAAUCGCAUGAUUUUAGCCUUUUGAGCAGCAGAGGCGCGCGGUGCGACAGAUGCCUCUUUCCUCCUUUGCCUAUAGUUAGGGCUCUUCUGUAUGUACCACCUAAAGGGCAACAAAACAACUCCACACAAAUAUUAGCACAUGAUUUGCAUUAAAUACAUGAAAAAAAAUCAAUGAAGCAUCACCCAAGCUAAAAAUGGAAUCUGACACAUUGUUAAAUUGUCAGAAUAUCUAUAGUAAUUUGGGAAUUAAACACACAUAAUCAUAUUGACAUGCCAUCACCAAAGCAUAUGGUUUACGAGCAAUCAGCUUAUGAUCACAAACAUGUUUCUUUUCUGUUCCUUUAGUAAAUACACUUUAUUUAAAACCCUUCCUUUGUACCCUCAGAGGAGCAGCUGCCCAUUCUUUUGACCACAAACUGAAAUAUUUGUUGAGUCAUCUCAUAAAUCCAGGCAGCAAAUGUGAUUCCUUCUAGCAGGUCCUUUUUAUGCUUUUUAUGAACCAGACAAAAUAUACGAUUGUGUGCACCAUCUUAAAGGAUAAUGAUAGAAUACAUGGGCAUGUGCAGCAGGAGCACCAGGGGAACUCAAAAAUAUUAGCAAUGCAGUGUUCAUUUGACUAUAACAUCAGCAGCACCAGUGAUAAACUCACACAUGUAAAACCUAUAAAAUUUGGUCACCAAUUCAGAAUUGCAUGGUAAACAGGAAUCCCAUUAAAAAAAAUCUGAAAACUCGACAAUCCAAAUAGGAACACCAUUAUGAAAAAUCUAAAAACUUCAGAUCCCAUAUGUAGGAGUUAAGGGAAUAGUGAAGAAACUGGUUGUACCUUCAAUUCAGGGAAUGAGAUACAGGAAGGGACAGUAGCAGCUGUUUGCAGUGAUACGGGAAUGGAUAAUCACCAGCGAUUCCUUAAGGAAGAAACAACGGCGAGGCAACGCCCUUGAUAGAAGUUGUUCUGCAUAUGGAUAUAUAAUGACAUCAUAUUUUUCUCAACGGAGAGUCAAGAAAAAAAGCAUAUUUGUUAUAUUUUAAAUGAACAACAAUUGACAGGAAAUUUUUCAGUAACUAAGUUUGCAAAUUUGUUUUGAUCCCAUCACUACCUGCGUGACAACUCGUACUUAUUUUUUUCCUACUCUGCUCAACCUUAGAAGCAAAUCGCCCAAGCUUAUGUUACACUACAUUUUGAUUUUUCAAACCAGUGGUGACAAAGAAUGUCUUUUUGCUUCUUUAACAAUUAAAUGAUCAACACACAUAAGCAGUUUGUUUUAACUUCCAUUUUUUUCACAAAUUUGUUGCUCUGCAAUCAAUAUAGUAAUUCUGGGCAGGGUUCAAAUUUGAUACUAUGGAGAUGGACACUUCAAGCACUGAAUUAGAUUAUCAACAUUAGCAUCAAAUGGCACAAAAAUAUUGGGCCAACGAAAUGAUUGCAAAGUGAAAAAAGGGAUAACAGAACUGAAAUAUUAGGAAACAUAUUAGGGAUGGGGAGACAGAGAAGGGGGAGGGGUGGGGGAGGAGGGUUUCUUCGUGGAGGAGGGGAUAUGGGUUGGCACCGGUGGCGCUUGAGGCGGCAUCACGUUGAUGGAGGAGGCAGCAGCUUAUGGGCGGAGCAGUUCGGCGAGGGAGGCGACGGAGUUCUGGCGGUGCAGAGGAGAUCGUCUUGGAGGGCGACGGCGUCGACAGAGACGCUGACGGGAGAGAUCGGCGCGGGCGGGUGGACGAGCUGACGACGGGAGGUUGAGGGGCGAUUUUUUUUUUUUUUUAGAAUUGCGAGAUAGGGGGACGACGGGAGUUACGCGCUGUGGGGAUUGGGGAAGGGGGCAGCGGAAAUUACGGGGAGAGAGGGUGAGCGCGUGGAUGAGUUUGGACCGUUUGAUGAGGACGGAGCGAUGAGGGGCGUUGGAUUUGUCCAAUGAUGAUGAUGAGUAAAAUGAGUUGGCGAAUUAUAAGGUAGAUGGUUGACUAUCACAGGAGGAAGAAUGUGAUAAACUUACACAUCAGCUGUCUUACACUGAAGUUGUGGCCAAGUUGCAGCCUGCAGCAGUGUCUUUUCCUUCUAAAAGUCCAACAUGCUCCUUUCACCGGCCUAACCAGGAAAUUGCAGACUUGACUCGUCACUUGGGGUUCAUCAAGCUUGACUCUUGACAACUUGUCUCGUACUUUCCUGUGCUAAUUUAACUGCAUAAACCAUGUAGAGUUGAAUCAGUUUUUGAUAGUAUCCACUGGUAGCAACACAAAGUCUUCGGGUCAAUACUAGAGAUAUAACCAAGUUGAGUCCCCCAGCAUCCUCACCUGCUGUUCCGAUUCACAUCCCGGCAGAUUGUACACUAAUUUUAGAGAAGAGGCAUUGCUGCCCAGCUUUAUACUGAAAGCAUAACAGAUUGUACACUAAUAGACUAUGCCAAUCGGAGAAGCUGUGCUGUCCGCGUUCAUGCAGGCGCUUUUCGAGAAAGCGGUGGCCGCUGCUUCCAGCGAGCUGAAAUUCCCUCAAAACAUAGCUGUGGAGCUGCAGAAUCUAUCAAGCAGUCUGUCGACAAUUCUGGCUCACGUUGAAGAUGCAGAGGAGCGGCAGCUGAAAGAUCAGGCGGCAAGAAGCUGGCUUUCCAGGCUGAAGGACGUCGCCUAUGAGAUGGAUGACCUGCUUGAUGAGCAUGCUGCUGAAGUCCUCCGAUCCAAACUUGCAGGCCCAUCCAACUAUCACCAUCUGAAGGUUAGAAUCUGCUUCUGCUGCAUUUGGUUGAAAAAUGGGUUAUUUAACAGAGAUUUAGUAAAACAAAUAAUGCGGAUUGAGGGGAAGAUCGAUAGGCUUAUUAAAGACAGACAUAUUGUCGAUCCGAUCAUGAGGUUUAACAGGGAAGAGAUAAGAGAGAGGCCCAAGACCAGUUCGUUAAUUGACGACUCGAGUGUGUAUGGUAGAGAAGAAGAUAAAGAGGUCAUUGUAAACAUGUUACUCACCACGAAUAACUCAAACCAUGUCAACCUUUCUAUUCUUCCCAUAGUGGGUAUGGGAGGAGUAGGGAAGACAACUUUAACACAGCUCGUCUACAAUGAUGUGAGAGUAAAGAAGCAUUUCCAGUUAAGAAUGUGGCUGUGUGUUUCUGAAAACUUUGAUGAGGCCAAACUUACCAAGGAAACGAUAGAAUCAGUUGCGAGCGGAUUAUCAUCCGCCACAACAAACAUGAACUUGCUUCAAGAAGACCUCUCAAACAAGCUGAAAGGCAAAAGGUUUCUUCUAGUAUUGGAUGAUGUAUGGAAUGAGGAUCCUGAUAGAUGGGAUAGAUACCGAUGUGCUCUAGUUGCUGGUGCAAAAGGAAGUAAAAUUAUGGUGACUACUCGAAAUGAAAAUGUUGGGAAAUUAGUGGGCGGGUUGACUCCUUACUAUCUAAAACAGUUAUCAUACAAUGAUUGCUGGCAUUUAUUCAGAAGCUAUGCAUUUGCAGAUGGUGACUCCAGUGCACACCCAAAUUUGGAAAUGAUCGGCAAGGAAAUUGUCCAUAAGUUGAAAGGCCUACCAUUAGCUGCAAGAGCUUUAGGUAGCUUAUUAUGUGCUAAGGACAACGAGGAUGACUGGAAAAAUAUCCUAGAAAGUGAAAUAUGGGAAUUGCCAUCAGACAAGAAUAAUAUCUUACCAGCUCUGAGACUGAGUUACAAUCAUCUUCCACCCAUAUUGAAGCGAUGCUUUGCAUUCUGCUCGGUCUUUCACAAAGACUAUGUGUUUGAGAAAGACAUAUUGGUCCAGAUCUGGAUGGCAGUUGGGUACAUCCAGCCUCAAGGGCGGAGAAGGAUGGAAGAGAUUGGGAAUAACUAUUUUGAUGAAUUACUGAGCAGAUCCUUCUUCCAAAAACACAAGGAUGGAUACGUGAUGCAUGAUGCCAUGCAUGACCUAGCGCAGUCUGUCUCCAUUGACGAAUGCAUGAGACUGGAUAAUCUUCCAAACAAUAGCACCACAGAAAGAAAUGCCAGGCACCUAUCAUUCUCUUGUGACAAUAAAAGUCAAACUACAUUUGAAGCUUUUCGUGGAUUUAAUAGAGCACGGAGCCUUCUACUGCUGAAUGGAUAUAAAUCAAAGACAAGCUCUAUCCCCAGUGAUCUGUUCCUCAAUUUAAGGUACCUCCAUGUCCUUGAUUUGAACCGACAAGAAAUUACAGAAUUGCCAGAAUCUGUUGGAAAAUUAAAGAUGCUCCGAUACUUGAACCUAUCAGGCACUGUUGUAAGAAAGCUGCCUUCAUCAAUUGGUAAGCUCUAUUGCUUGCAAACACUUAAGUUACGAAACUGCCUCGCAUAAUCUUGUAAAUCUCCUAUCCCUCGAAGCAAGAACUGAACUGAUCACUGGCAUAGCCAGAAUAGGGAAAUUGACUUGCCUUCAAAAGUUGGAGGAAUUUGUUGUCCAUAAGGACAAAGGAUACAAGGUUAGUGAAUUGAAGGCUAUGAAUAAGAUCGGAGGACAUAUCUGCAUUAAAAAUCUAGAGAGCGUGUCUAGUGCGGAAGAAGCAGAUGAAGCAUUGCUAAGUGAGAAGGCACACAUCAGCAUUCUAGACCUUAUAUGGUCCAGUAGCAGGGAUUUUACUUCAGAAGAAGCAAACCAGGACAUAGAAACACUCACAUCCCUCGAACCACAUGAUGAACUCAAGGAGCUGACAGUCAAGGCAUUUGCAGGAUUCGAAUUUCCACAUUGGAUAGGCUCUCACAUUUGCAAACUAUCCAUCUGUCUGACUGUACAAAUUGUUCAAUUCUGCCAGCACUUGGACAGCUGCCUCUACUCAAGGUUAUAAUCAUUGGGGGUUUUCCUACCAUUAUUAAAAUUGGAGAUGAGUUUUCAGGUAGUAGUGAAGUUAAGGGGUUUCCGUCACUGAAAGAACUUGUAUUUGAAGACACGCCUAAUCUCGAAAGGUGGACUUCCACACAAGAUGGUGAGUUUCUUCCAUUCCUUAGAGAACUUCAAGUGCUUGACUGUCCCAAAGUAACAGAAUUGCCACUUCUCCCAUCAACACUAGUGGAACUGAAAAUUUCUGAGGCAGGCUUUUCUGUACUUCCUGAAGUUCAUGCUCCAAGAUUUCUACCAUCAUUGACACGCCUACAGAUUCACAAAUGCCCCAAUCUCACAUCCUUGCAGCAAGGAUUGCUUAGUCAGCAAUUAUCAGCCCUCCAGCAACUAACCAUCACUAACUGUCCAGAACUAAUUCACCCCCCAACUGAAGGAUUACGAACUUUAACUGCUCUUCAGAGUCUUCACAUUUAUGAUUGUCCAAGGCUGGCAACAGCAGAACAUCGUGGCUUACUACCUCGCAUGAUUGAAGAUCUACGCAUCACCUCAUGCUCCAACAUAAUCAAUCCUCUUCUUGAUGAACUUAAUGAGCUCUUUGCUCUCAAGAAUCUUGUCAUUGCGGAUUGCGUUAGCCUUAAUACUUUUCCAGAAAAGUUACCGGCUACCCUCAAAAAAUUGGAGAUCUUCAAUUGCAGUAAUCUGGCCUCCUUGCCUGCUUGUUUACAAGAAGCCUCUUGUCUAAAAACUAUGACUAUCUUAAAUUGUGUUAGCAUAAAAUGCUUGCCAGCACAUGGACUUCCACUGUCCUUAGAAGAAUUAUACAUCAAAGAGUGCCCAUUUCUGGCAGAGAGGUGUCAAGAAAACAGUGGAGAAGAUUGGCCUAAAAUAUCUCAUAUAGCCAUCAUAGAGAUUGACGAUGAUAGUGCCAUGCCAGAUAGGAGCAUAAGGAGAAGAUUAUGCUAAAAGCUUCUUAGCAACUCAACAAAAAGGGUAUGAAUUAAUUGCCUUCUCUAGUUUCUUUUGUCUAAAUAUAAUAGAUAAGGCUGGCUGUGAACAUCAUACUCAAACCUAUUCUCUGCAGGUGCAAUUGGUAUAUAUUCAGUUUAUUAUCUCCAGUGCAAAGUUCUAUUUUAACAUAAUUACUAACAUUUAUCAGAUACAGAAGUAAUACACUCGAAAUGUAAAAACUAUGGUAAACAACUGUAGCGAUAGAGUACAGUUAAGAUUGAGUGAUUUCCACCAAACAGAAAACAACAGAAAAGAAUAAAAGAAAUAACGGGACAAAGAAUUUCAGUACUAACAAUGUAACUAAAAGGAACCAGGAAGGAGAGCAUGUAUAUCUCUUUUAUGAUAGAAGAAUUUUGGAGCAUGACAUAUGUAAACAGUUUUUUGUCCACAAGAAAUGAAAUUCAGAUUGUCAUGGUCAACACUUAUAUCUUCAUAUUACAAACUAAAAAUUUGAAGCAGUUUCAUCGGUUCUGAUAGGAAGAAGUUUGACGAGCAUGCAAAAAUGAAUGCAUAAUAACAGUUCAUUUGGUCAGUUGUGUUAUGCAGAACAGUUAAUAUCAUUGCCUUUUAGGUGGAAACAUCUACACCCCCCGUCCCCCCCAAAAGAAAACCCUCUUCUGGGCCUAUGUCCAUAUUCAAACCCAUGGAGUGGGUGUUUUUUGGGACAGAGGGAGUAUAAAUUAAAAAUGCUAUAUUACAAUCACCAUUUGAUGAGAAAACUAUAGUCAAAUGGUAUGCGUUACUCAUCUGUUCGCCUUUAUGUUGGACCAUUUUGGUUUGGUGCCAAUUCUUGCCCUACCAAUUCUUUGGUAGUUUUGAAUAGUGCAUGUUAGCAUUUUGGAUUGGAGCCAAAUUUUGCCAAAUCAAUAGAGUGGAGCCAAAUCUAUACUAUAAAAAAAAUUUUGCCGGGUCGGCCAAAGGUUGGCCGACCAAUUUCAUUAAGAUUGGGGAGAAAAACAAAGGAAUGUUACAGCGACAUUACAAUGUCGCGCUAGUCCGGGAGAGAUCCCAGACACAGCGUGAACAAACGAAGGAGAAAGAGACAAUACAACAACGAUUACUCGCUGAAUUGGGAGAAGAUCCCAGCUACCCUCCACACCACGAUUUCUUCUUUUAUAUUCUCGGCUACUUACUAUAAAAAAUUUGGUAGUGCCAAAAUAUGCCCAAGGUUUGGUACUACCAAUAUUUUGGUAGGGUUUCAAACCAAACAAGCCCGUUAUUUUCAGAACUGCCAUCUAGAUUCCUCAUGCAUGGCAAUGUCAGCGUUUCAAGAGAAUCUCAUAUUCUACCUGCAUCAGGAUGUGCUAUGUUAAUGUGACAGAGAAGGACGACCAGACAAUCAAUCAAUACUUCAAAGAAUCAAGUCAAGUUUGAAUUGAUUCUUUCUCUUUAGAUGGUCUGGGACACUGAGUCUUUUGUUACAGAUUUCCCAAAAUUGAACUGAAGAAAUCAAUGAAGACUGAAUUCUUGCUUCUAUUUAUGUCUAUCAAGCCAUAUUCGAAGGUCCAAAAUUGACCAGUUACCACUCCAGAAGAAUGUAUAAUAAUCUUCUUAUCAAAGUUUGGUUAUCACCUAAUAUAGUUCAACUAGGCAUAUGCUUAUCCAUUCAAAAGGGAAAGAAAACUAAGCAUGGUCCAAUGUUCACCUUUACGUUUCCUUUUCCUGACCAACUGUAUUACACAGCCUAUCCCAUAAUAUUUCUCUAGGUCUGUUAUGAUUGGGGCAUUUCAAAAUUAAGUAAUUUUCCAAAAUAAAACUAUGAACAUCAGUACAACGAUACCAUAUAUGUAUAGCACAAUAUACGGUGAUCAAAUCUCAGAGGCGCUUUCUCUGACCUAAUUAGAAAAACCCGACUAGUAAAAAUCCACGAACUUACAGCCAAAAAAAACGAAGGACGCGUUGUAGAUUCGCUCCACACACACACUCGCUAUAUCUCUCCUCCCCCUUCCACGUCUCCGGUUCGCGGAGAUACGAACCGGCGGUAGCCCCGCGCCGCGGCGGCGGCGCCGCCGCCGCCGAAGCCGCCGCAAGCCGAGAAUUUCCCCCGGAGAAGUAGAAUGAUGAGGCCCAAAUUUAGAUUGAUACUGUAGAUUCGAUCUCUAUCGGGCCUGGAUGCACGGCCCACCAAAUCUACCAUAUGGGCUGGGUAUGGGCCUUGAACGAAU